rnacentral:rRNA from 1 species
CCUACGGGAGGCAGCAGUGGGGAAUAUUGCACAAUGGGGGAAACCCUGAUGCAGCGACGCCGCGUGAGUGAAGAAGUAUUUCGGUAUGUAAAGCUCUAUCAGCAGGGAAGAAAAUGACGGUACCUGACUAAGAAGCCCCGGCUAACUACGUGCCAGCAGCCGCGGUAAUACGUAGGGGGCAAGCGUUAUCCGGAUUUACUGGGUGUAAAGGAAGCGUAGACGGCCAGACAAGUCAGAAGUGAAAGCCCAGGGCUCAACCCUGGGACUGCUUUUGAAACUGCCGGGCUGGAGUGAAGGAGAGGUAAGCGGAAUUCCGAGGGUAGCGGUGAAAUGCGUAGAUAUUAGGAGGAACACCAGUGGCGAAGGCGGCUUACUGGACUGUAACUGACGUUGAGGCUCGAAAGCGUGGGGAGCAAACAGGAUUAGAUACCCUUGUAGUC